rnacentral:rRNA from 1 species
CCUUUGGGGUAUUUAAGUGGCGAACGGCUGUGUAACACGUGGGCAACCUGCCCCUGACACUGGGAUAACUCCGGGAAACCGGGGCUAAUACCGGAUACGAGCCUCGACGGCAUCGUCGAGGUUGGAAAGGUUUUUCGGUCAGGGAUGGGCCCGCGGCCUAUCAGCUUGUUGGUGGGGUAACGGCCUACCAAGGCGACGACGGGUAGCCGGCCUGAGAGGGCGACCGGCCACACUGGGACUGAGACACGGCCCAGACUCCUACGGGAGGCAGCAGUGGGGAAUAUUGCGCAAUGGGCGAAAGCCUGACGCGGCGGCGCCGCGUGAGGGAUGACGGCCUUCGGGUUGUAAACCUCUUUCAGCAGGGACGAAGCGCAAGUGACUGUACCUGCAGAAGAAGCACCGGCUAACUACGUGCCAGCA